AUUGAACGCUGGCGGUAUGCUUAACACAUGCAAGUCGAACGAUGAGAAAGAGCUUGCUCUUUCGAUUAGUGGCGGACGGGUGCGUAACGCGUAGGAAUCUACCUAUUAGUGGGGGACAACUUAGGGAAACUUAAGCUAAUACCGCAUACGCCCUACGGGGGAAAGAAGGGGAUCGCAAGACCUUUUGCUAAUAGAUGAGCCUGCGUAGGAUUAGCUAGUUGGUGGGGUAAAAGCUCACCAAGGCGACGAUCCUUAACUGGUUUGAGAGAAUGAUCAGUCACACUGGAACUGAGACAAGGUCCAGACUCCUACGGGAGGCAGCAGUGGGGAAUAUUGGACAAUGGGCGAAAGCCUGAUCCAGCAAUACCGCGUGUGUGAAGAAGGCCUUAGGGUUGUAAAGCACCUUCAAUUGGAAGGAAAACCUCGAAGCUAAUACCUUCGAGUUUGACAUUACCUUUAGAAGAAGCACCGGCUAACUCCGUGCCAGCCGCCGCAGUAACAC
rnacentral:rRNA from 1 species